GAGGGUAUAGCUCAAGCAGUAGAGCAUAUGCUUAGCAUGCAUGAGGUCAUGGGUUCAGUCCUCAGUACCUCCU
rnacentral:tRNA from 1 species